rnacentral:rRNA from 1 species
CAGCCGCCGCGGGAACACGUAGGUGGCAAGCGUUGUCCGGAUUUAUUGGGCGUAAAGCGAGCGCAGGCGGUUCCUUAAGUCUGAUGUGAAAGCCCACGGCUCAACCGUGGAAGGUCAUUGGAAAUUGGGGAACUUGAGUGCAGAAGAGGAGAGUGGAAUUCCAUGUGUAGCGGUGAAAUGCGUAGAUAUAUGGAGGAACACCAGUGGCGAAGGCGACUCUCUGGUCUGUAACUGACGCUGAGGCUCGAAAGCGUGGGGAGCAAACAGGAUUAGAUACCCCCGUAGUCCCUGUCUCUUAUAC